CGUCCGGGUUCCACCUAAUAAAGAUGGAUGGCUUUCACGAAAUUACCCCAACUAACAAUCCGACAAUGAGGACUUGCUCCCUUUCCUAUUGCACCCAUGUGUGUGUCAAAGAUAAUGCCUACUUCACUGAACUUCGAUCGCUCGGUCCGCUGCAUCUGAUGAGGAUGAAGCCGCUUGAUCCAUCUGAAUCACACCCUUGCUGAUCCAAUGGCCAAGAAAUAGCACUUUCGUCUGAGUACCGUUUCACGUACAGCCUCUUUUCCUGCUACACCCGGAAC
rnacentral:lncRNA from 1 species